rnacentral:rRNA from 1 species
GACGUAGGGCGCGAGCGUUGUCCGGAUUUAUUGGGCGUAAAGAGCUCGUAGGCGGCUUGUUGCGUCGACUGUGAAAACCUGCGGCUCAACCGUGUGGUCUGCAGUCGAUACGGGCAGGCUGGAGUUCGGUAGGGGAGACUGGAAUUCCGGGUGUAGCGGUGGAAUGCGUAGAGAUCCGGAAGAACACCGGUGGCGAAGGCGGCCUGCUGGGCAGUUGCUGACACUGAGGCGCGACAGCGUGUGGAGCAAACAGG